ACGCUCGACACCUACGGAGGCAGCAGUGGGGAAUAUUGCACAAUGGGGGAAACCCUGAUGCAGCGACGCCGCGUGAGCGAAGAAGUAUUUCGGUAUGUAAAGCUCUAUCAGCAGGGAAGAAACUGACGGUACCUGACUAAGAAGCACCGGCUAAAUACGUGCCAGAAGCCGCGGUAAUCUGAGCGGGCUGGCAAGGC
rnacentral:rRNA from 1 species